UUUUAAUUUUGUCGUUAUUUCCUCGUUAUUUUACGAGAAAAUUACGAGGAUUAUGUUUAAAUCCCUAAAAUCUGAAACCCCAAACCCCAUCUUCCUUAUCUUCUACUUCAUAUAUUCCAAACCCCAAACCCACCUUCCCUUUAACGAGGAACUCGCGAGGCCCGUGUUUUUAUUUACGAGGAAUUAGCGAGGCCCGCGUUUGGUUUCCUCGUAACGUCCUCGUCCAUUUACGAGGAAUUAGCGA
rnacentral:lncRNA from 1 species